rnacentral:rRNA from 1 species
GCUCAAAUUUGAAAWCUGGCCCUAGGCCCGAGUUGUAAUUUGCAGAGGAUGUUUCUGACGCGGUGUCUUCCGAGUCCCUUGGAACAGGGCGCCAUAGAGGGUGAGAGCCCCGUACGGUUGCGCGCUAAGUCUAUGUGAAACUCCUUCGACGAGUCGAGUAGUUUGGGAAUGCUGCUCUAAAUGGGAGGUAUACGUCUUCUAAAGCUAAAUACCGGCCAGAGACCGAUAGCGCACAAGUAGAGUGAUCGAAAGAUGAAAAGCACUUUGAAAAGAGGGUUAAAAAGUACGUGAAAUUGUUGAAAGGGAAGCACUUAUGACCAGACUUGGGCUCGGUGAAUCACCCAGCGUUCUCGCUGGUGCACUUUGCCGGCUCAGGCCAGCAUCAGUUUGCUCCGGGGGAUAAAGGCUUCGGGAAUGUGGCUCCCUCGGGAGUGUUAUAGCCCGUUGCAUAAUACCCUGGAGUGGACUGAGGUACGCGCUCCGCAAGGAUGCUGGCGUAAUGGUCCUCAGUGACCCGUCUUGAAACACGGACCAAGGAGUCGUCUUCGUAUGCGAGUGUUCGGGUGUCAAACCCCUACGCGUAAUGAAAGUGAACGUAGGUGAGAGCUUCGGCGCAUCACCGACCGAUCCUGAUGUUCUCGGAUGGAUUUGAGUAAGAGCAUACGGG